UACGUAGGGUGCGAGCGUUGUCCGGAAUUAUUGGGCGUAAAGAGCUUGUAGGUGGUUUGUCGCGUCUGCUGUGAAAAUCCGAGGCUCAACCUCGGACUUGCAGUGGGUACGGGCAGACUAGAGUGUGGUAGGGGGAGACUGGAAUUCCUGGUGUAGCGGUGGAAUGCGCAGAUAUCAGGAGGAACACCGAUGGCGAAGGCAGG
rnacentral:rRNA from 1 species